UAUCUCAUUUAUGCGAACUGAACAGGUUGUGCAAGAAGAUGCACUCGGAACUCCUUGGAUUUAUUCGAUACAAGCUCCAACAAAUGGUAGCGAUUAAUACAAAAAUCGGAAAUAUUCCGAAAGUUUCCAUGUUGAUUUUUUAAGAAGAUCUGAAAGAAAAUAUAGUUUCUAUGGCAAAGACAUUUGAGGUCGUUGUUUAAUGGUUAAAACAUAUGUGAUGAAAGGCUAAUACAAAACACAGACAACUAGAGCUUCUACUGCUGCACUGAUAAAAGUGCACGAAUGUUUGAAUGUCAUUAUUGCCUUGUUAACCUUGCAGUAGCACUGCCUAGAUUUGGUUGCAAACAACAUCACUGCCUAGGUAUGGUAGCGAAACAAUAUUACUACUAAGGUAUGGAGGCGAAAUAACAUUACUGCAAACAUAUGGUGGCGAAACAUCACCACUGCCUUAUAGUGAUAUAUGAUGAACUGUGUUAUUCUUUGCAUGGAAAGUUGAAUACAUUAAGUAAUCUUUCAUGUUUUGAUACAGGUUUGGAGCAAACCAUUUUUACAUUCAAAAGUGAGAAAUAUAAAUCUCUGAUGGGGAAAUAUGACAAAGACUACAUUCAUUUCUGACAAACAACUGUUACAUACUUUAUAGUAGCAUUUUAUUGAAUUUAUUUAUUUAAUGCUGAAAAAUAAAACUUACGGAAAAAUC